rnacentral:rRNA from 1 species
CACGUAGGGGGCAAGCGUUGUCCGGAUUUAUUGGGCGUAAAGAGCUCGUAGGCGGUUUCGUAAGUCGGGUGUGAAAACUCUAGGCUCAACCUAGAGACGCCACCCGAUACUGCGAUGACUAGAGUCCGGUAGGGGAGUGUGGAAUUCCUGGUGUAGCGGUGAAAUGCGCAGAUAUCAGGAGGAACACCAACGGCGAAGGCAGCACUCUGGGCCGGAACUGACGCUGAGGAGCGAAAGCCAGGGGAGCAAACGGG